UACGUAGGGUGCGAGCGUUGUCCGGAAUUAUUGGGCGUAAAGAGCUCGUAGGCGGUGUGUCACGUCGUUCGUGAAAACCUGCAGCUUAACUGUGGGCGUGCGGUCGAUACGGGCAUCACUGGAGUUCGGCAGGGGAGACUGGAAUCCUGGUGUAGCGGUGAAAUGCGCAGAUAUCAGGAGGGAACACCGAUGGCGAAGGCAGGUCACUGGGCCGCAACUGACGCUGGAGGAGCGAAAGCGUGGGGAGCAAACAGG
rnacentral:rRNA from 1 species